rnacentral:rRNA from 1 species
UUGGAGGGCAAGUCUGGUGCCAGCAGCCGCGGUAAUUCCAGCUCCAAUAGCGUAUAUUAAAGUUGUUGCAGUUAAAAAGCUCGUAGUUGAAUUUCGGGAUCAGAUUGUCGGUCGUGCCUCGGUACGCACUGGCAUUAUUGGUUCCUACCUUCUGAAGAACCGCGAUGUCAUUAAUUUGGUGUCGUGGGGAAUCAGGACUGUUACUUUGAAAAAAUUAGAGUGUUUAAAGCAGGCGCACGCUUGAAUACAUUAGCAUGGAAUAAUGAAAUAGGACGUUUGAUUCUAUUUUGUUGGUUUCUAGGAUCGACGUAAUGAUUAAUAGGGAUAGUUGGGGGCAUUAGUAUUCAAUUGUCAGAGGUGAAAUUCUUGGAUUUAUUGAAGACUAACUACUGCGAAAGCAUUUGCCAAGGAUGUUUUCAUUAAUCAAGAACGAAAGUUAGGGGAUCGAAGACGAUCAGAUACCGUCGUAGUCUUAACCAUAAACUAUGCCGACUAGGGAUCGGAUGAUGUUAAUUUUAUAAUGACUCAUUCGGCGCCUUACGGGAAACCAAAGUGUUUGGGUUC